rfam:Triticum aestivum genome assembly, contig: Triticum_aestivum_CS42_TGACv1_scaffold_393325_5AS
AACAUACUCCCUCCGUCCGGAAUUACUUCUCGCUGAAAUGGAUGUAUCUAGAUGUAUUUUAGUUCUAGAUACAUCCAUUUCUAUCCAUUUCUGCGACAAGUAAUUCCGGAUGGAGGGAGUAGUAU